GAGUCUUUUAUUGGCGCCCCUGCUUCAGCUCCUAUGUAAUUAAUCACACUAUAUCAUGGUUUCAAAUAAUUUUUUUUUAUUCGAAUUUAUUUAGUUAAAGAAAAUCAAUAGUACAUUUGAGUUGAGAAUUUGGAUUGAGAGGCAAUUUGAGAUUUUCCAUUUAUUGUUGUUGGGUUUGUUUCAAGACUAUUACAUACACACACA
rnacentral:misc_RNA from 1 species